ensembl:lncRNA
GGGGUGUCUACCUGGCUGAGUAAUGUCUGUGUCCCUGCCUGGGGGUGUCUACCUGGCUGAGUAGGUCUGUGUCCCUGCCUGGGGGUGUCUACCUGGCUGAGUAGGUCUGUGUCCCUGCCUGGGGGUGUCUACCUGUCUGAGUAAGGUCUUUGUCCCUGCCUGGGGGUGUCUAUCUGGCUGAGUAGGUCUUUGUCCCUGCCUGGGGGUGUCGACCUGGCUGAGUAGGUCUAUGUCCCUGCCUGGGGGUGUCGACCUGGCUGAGUAGGUCUGUGUCCCUGCCUGGGGGUGUCGACUUGGCUGAGUAGGUCUGUGUCCCUGCCUGGGGUGUCUACCUGGCUGAGUAGGUCUGUGUCCCUGCCUGGGGGUGUCGACCUGGCUGAGUAGGUCUGUGUCCCUGCCUGGGGGUGUCCCCACCCUGAGAUGGGCCAUCUGUCUCUCCA